rnacentral:misc_RNA from 1 species
UUGGGCCAGCAGCAGGUCC